AAAUUGAAGAGUUUGAUCAUGGCUCAGAUUGAACGCUGGCGGCAGGCCUAACACAUGCAAGUCGAACGGUAGCACAGAGAGCUUGCUCUCGGGUGACGAGUGGCGGACGGGUGAGUAAUGUCUGGGAAACUGCCUGAUGGAGGGGGAUAACUACUGGAAACGGUGGCUAAUACCGCAUAACGUCGCAAGACCAAAGAGGGGGACCUUCGGGCCUCUUGCCAUCAGAUGUGCCCAGAUGGGAUUAGCUUGUUGGUGAGGUAACGGCUCACCAAGGCGACGAUCCCUAGCUGGUCUGAGAGGAUGACCAGCCACACUGGAACUGAGACACGGUCCAGACUCCUACGGGAGGCAGCAGUGGGGAAUAUUGCACAAUGGGCGCAAGCCUGAUGCAGCCAUGCCGCGUGUAUGAAGAAGGCCUUCGGGUUGUAAAGUACUUUCAGCGGGGAGGAAGGUGUUGUGGUUAAUAACCACAGCAAUUGACGUUACCCGCAGAAGAAGCACAGGCUAACUCCGUGCCAGCAGCCGCGGUAAUACGGAGGGUGCAAGCGUUAAUCGGAAUUACUGGGCGUAAAGCGCACGCAGGCGGUCUGUCAAGUCGGAUGUGAAAUCCCCGGGCUCAACCUGGGAACUGCAUUCGAAACUGGCAGGCUUGAGUCUUGUAGAGGGGGGUAGAAUUCCAGGUGUAGCGGUGAAAUGCGUAGAGAUCUGGAGGAAUACCGGUGGCGAAGGCGGCCCCCUGGACAAAGACUGACGCUCAGGUGCGAAAGCGUGGGGAGCAAACAGGAUUAGAUACCCUGGUAGUCCACGCCGUAAACGAUGUCUACUUGGAGGUUGUGCCCUUGAGGCGUGGCUUCCGGAGCUAACGCGUUAAGUAGACCGCCUGGGGAGUACGGCCGCAAGGUUAAAACUCAAAUGAAUUGACGGGGGCCCGCACAAGCGGUGGAGCAUGUGGUUUAAUUCGAUGCAACGCGAAGAACCUUACCUGGUCUUGACAUCCACAGAACUUUCCAGAGAUGGACU
rnacentral:rRNA from 1 species